CCACGAGAUAAUGAAAAUUGAUGAGAUUAUAAGCCCAAGGUAGUGCCUCACCAUGAAUACAUAAGUACUUGCGGACGGCUACAUAAACGGCUAUAUUCCCAACGGCCAUAUUCCAUAAACGGCUAUCACUAUUCCCUCUCCAUAGGAACUCACCGCCGCCGGUGUUCGUUCUCUUCCCACCAACGGAAUUCCGGCAACCGACGUCUGGGCAGAGGAUUCUACUAAAAGGGAAUCUGGCACUAAGGUUCAUCAUGCUAACAUCCGAGCAGCUAAGGUACCCUACCGGCAAACCAACAAUUGGGAUCAGUUUAUCGGAGUACCAGACAAGAUAACGACCGACAACCAAUUUCAAAUCAGCAAUUCAACAGAGAGAACAGCUUCAACUUCGACGGCACGCCACCAGGAUAGCCACCAGCUAAGGGCAUUGUCCUCUUCCCUUUUCUUCCUUUCAUUUAUCUUUUCAUUUAUUUUUUUUAUAUUUACUUAUUGUGUUUGUUUUAGUGUAGCCUAUUGUGUGAUAUUGUUUUGUUGUGCUUUAGUUAGUGUUCUGCACCGAGAUUGGGUCCUCCGGACUCUUAAUCUUGCACACAAUCAGUCCUCUGCAUUACGUGGAGGAUGAUUGACUCAAACUCACACAAAACAACCGCCAAUCAACCCAAGAAACCAAUUCUUGGUUUUCAGGCCAGCCUUGGUCACCCUCUGAUUUGGCUUCACUCACCAACGAGAAAUGACCCCCCACACCCUCCCUCGAGUUCCACUCAAAUAAGGGAAGAUGACACUCUAAAUUGUUCCACAAUUAGAGUGUAGAAGAUGUUCCACACGUUCUUGCAAAGCUGAGAUUGUAAUGACAAACACACACAAAGGAGAGGAAUAUAACCUUGAGGAAAUGAAGAAGAAUUCUUAUUAAUCACCAAACUUAAUAAAUGUACAUGAGAGACAACCUAUAUUUAUAGUUUUCUAGCUAGCUAACGGCUAAUAACAUCACGUGCAUUACAUCAUGUGUUUUAAAAACACAAAACAGAAGCAUAAAACUAAGUCAGAACACUGAUUCUGAUUUCAGCACCAGCCUGCUGACUGGGAAACCUUGCACAUGGAUUUUAGAGAGUUGUGUGAGUCAUCAAUAGGGUUCUUGGCCCUUGAUGGCUAGGUCCAUGUGCCAAGAUUCCAUUUCUACAUUAGUCCAGGCCCUGGGUGCACAGGUCUGGUCUCCACGUGUCGUGCAAGGUGGCUUGGUCGCUAGCUGCUGUGCUGUUCUGUAUGGUCUGUAUGGGCUGUUCUGAUCUGCGAUUGGGUUCCUUUGGGCUUCCGUUCCAAGUGAUUGUGUGCGCUUCCAGCAUGGAUCUUGGACCUUGAUGGCUUGGUCCAUGUAUGGAGAUCACGUUUCCAUGGUUGUUUGGCCCCAGGUCUCCUUGGUUAAGGCUCAAACCACGCUGCAAAGUAAGCUGGUCAGCGGGUGUCUUGCUAUUUUGACCUGCUGCUGUUUUCUGUUCUUGCUAAGCAUUCUGAUGUGUAUGUGGGUUUGCUGUGUUGUUCUUUGUAUGAUAACCUUGAUUCUUUGUGUGAUCUUCAUCCUUAUGAGUUGAGUGAGGUUGAGGUGCAUCUUCAUUAGUUUGUACUGAACCAUGGGCUGAGGUAUGUUUGAGGUUAGGCACACAUGGUUCAUGUUCCCUUUAAAGUUUUUUUGGUAACCUUUCUAACUUAGUCCUGAGUAAUUGAAUAUAGAGUUAGAAAGCAAUUGUGGUCUUAUUAUUAUUAUUAUUAUUAAUAUUAUUAUUAUUAUUAUUAUUAUUAUUGUUAUUAUUAUUGUUAUCAUUAUUGUUAUCGUUCGUUAUCGUCAUCGGUCUUUGCUUCCUGAGGUUAAGGCUGGCUGUGUCAUUAAUCUUACUUCCAAACUUUUCAUCCUUAGCUGGUUUUGCAUUAUUACCUUUUGAAGAAUUGAUGAAGAACCCAUUAUUUAGCACUUGAAGAAUUGAUGAAGAACUCAUUUGUUGUCUAGUAGGAAUUGGAAUAUAUCCAUCAACAGCAUCCAUAAGUUUAUAAAUUUUAUCAACCCAUUCAUUUUCAGUUUUCACCCCUCUUAAUAUUAGGGUUCUUCAUCAAUUUAUCAAUUCUUAUUUUGAGAUAUGCAUUAUUUUAUUCCCAACAAAUUAAAUAAUUUUUAUUGUUCAUUAUUAGAUCUAAUCUAAAUUAUUAAAUAAAUUAGUUGUGUUAAUUUUAUUGUUAUUAUUAUUAUUAUUGUUAUUAUUGUAAUUAUUAUUAUUAUUAUUAUUAUUAUUAUUAUUAUUGUCAUUAUUAUUAUUAUUAUUAUUAUUAUUAUUAUUAUUAUUAUUAUUGUCAUUAUUAUUAUUAUUAUUAUUAUUAUUAUUAUUAUUAUUAUUAUUAUUAUUAUUAUUAUUAUUAUUAUUAUUAUUAUUAUUAUUAUUAUUAUUAUUAUUAUUAUUAUUAUUAUUAUUAU